GACGAACGCUGGCGGCGUGCUUAACACAUGCAAGUCGAACGGAAAGGCCCUGCUUUUGUGGGGUGCUCGAGUGGCGAACGGGUGAGUAACACGUGAGUAACCUGCCCUUGACUUUGGGAUAACUUCAGGAAACUGGGGCUAAUACCGGAUAGGAGCUCCUGCUGCAUGGUGGGGGUUGGAAUGUUUCGGCGGUUGGGGAUGGACUCGCGGCUUAUCAGCUUGUUGGUGGGGUAGUGGCUUACCAAGGCUUUGACGGGUAGCCGGCCUGGGAGGGUGACCGGCCACAUUGGGACUGAGAUACGGCCCAGACUCCUACGGGAGGCAGCAGUGGGGAAUAUUGCACAAUGGGAGGAAGCCAGAUGCAGCAACGCCGCGUGCGGGAUGACGGCCUUCGGGUUGUAAACCGCUUUCGCCUGUGACGAAGCGUGAGUGACGGUAAUGGGUAAAGAAGCACCGGCUAACUACGUG
rnacentral:rRNA from 1 species